GUGCGAGUACUUCCAGCUGCUUUAGUGCAAAGUCCAACAGCUUAGCCUGAAUAGUCUUCUCUGACAGCUCCAGCUAAGCUUCUGGACUUUGCAUCAAAGUGGCUGUGCACUCACAU
ensembl:miRNA tgu-mir-2955 tgu-mir-2955